rnacentral:rRNA from 1 species
UACGAAGGGGGCUAGCGUUGUUCGGAAUCACUGGGCGUAAAGCGCACGUAGGCGGAUCUUUAAGUCAGGGGUGAAAUCCCGAGGCUCAACCUCGGAACUGCCUUUGAUACUGGGGAUCUCGAGUCCGGGAGAGGUGAGUGGAACUGCGAGUGUAGAGGUGAAAUUCGUAGAUAUUCGCAAGAACACCAGUGGCGAAGGCGGCUCACUGGCCCGGAACUGACGCUGAGGUGCGAAAGCGUGGGGGAGCAAACAGGGAUUAAGAAACCCUGGUAA